rnacentral:rRNA from 1 species
AUUGAACGCUGGCGGAAUGCUUUACACAUGCAAGUCGAACGGCAGCACGGGGCAACCUGGUGGCGAGUGGCGAACGGGUGAGUAAUACAUCGGAACGUGCCCAAUCGUGGGGGAUAACGUAGCGAGAGUUACGCUAAUACCGCAUACGAUCUACGGAUGAAAGCGGGGGAUCGCAAGACCUCGCGCGAUUGGAGCGGCCGAUGUCAGAUUAGGUAGUUGGUGGGGUAAAGGCUCACCAAGCCGACGAUCUGUAGCUGGUCUGAGAGGACGACCAGCCACACUGGGACUGAGACACGGCCCAGACUCCUACGGGAGGCAGCAGUGGGGAAUUUUGGACAAUGGGCGCAAGCCUGAUCCAGCCAUGCCGCGUGAGUGAAGAAGG